UACGGAGGGUGCAAGCGUUAUUCGGAUUUACUGGGCGUAAAGCGCACGUAGGUGGUUUCGUAAGUCUGAUGUGAAAGCCCGGGGCUCAACCCCGGAAGUGCAUUGGAUACUGCAAAACUAGAGUAUGGGAGGGGAGAGUGGAAUUCCUGGUGUAGAGGUGAAAUUCGUAGAUAUCAGGAGGAACACCGGUGGCGAAGGCGACUCUCUGGACCAUAACUGACACUGAGGUGCGAAAGCGUGGGUAGCAAACAGG
rnacentral:misc_RNA from 1 species